GACGAACGCUGGCGGCGUGCCUAAUACAUGCAAGUCGAGCGAAGUUUUUCUGGUGCUUGCACUAGAAAAACUUAGCGGCGAACGGGUGAGUAACACGUAAAGAACCUGCCUCAUAGACUGGGAUAACUAUUGGAAACGAUAGCUAAUACCGGAUAACAGCAUUAACUGCAUGGUUGAUGUUUAAAAGUUGGUUUUGCUAACACUAUGAGACGGCUUUGCGGUGCAUUAGCUAGUUGGUGGGGUAAAGGCCUACCAAGGCGACGAUGCAUAGCCGACCUGAGAGGGUGAUCGGCCACACUGGGACUGAGACACGGCCCAGACUCCUACGGGAGGCAGCAGUAGGGAAUCUUCCGCAAUGGGCGAAAGCCUGACGGAGCAACGCCGCGUGAGUGAAGAAGGAUUUCGGUUCGUAAAGCUCUGUUGUUAGGGAAGAAUGAUUGUGU
rnacentral:rRNA from 1 species